GUGUCAGCCGCCGCGGUAAUACAGAGGUCCCAAGCGUUGUUCGGAUUCACUGGGCGUAAAGGGUGCGUAGGUGGCAAGGUAAGUUCGAUGUGAAAUCCCCGGGCUUAACCCGGGAAUGGCAUUGAAUACUAUCUGGCUUGAGGGUCGGAGGGGAGACUGGAACUCUCGGUGUAGCAGUGAAAUGCGUAGAUAUCGAGAAGAACACCAGUGGCGAAGGCGAGUCUCUGGACGACUCCUGACACUGAGGCACGAAAGCUAGGGGAGCAAACAGGAUUAGAUACCCUGGUAGUCCUAGCCGUAAACGGUGCGCACUUGCUGUGAGCGGAAUCGACCCCGUUCGUGGCGAAGCUAACGCGAUAAGUGCGCCGCCUGGGAAGUACGGUCGCAAGAUUAAA
rnacentral:rRNA from 1 species